rnacentral:rRNA from 1 species
UACAGAGGUGGCAAGCGUUGUUCGGAAUUACUGGGCGUAAAGGGCGCGUAGGCGGCCCGUCAAGUCCCGUGUGAAAGCCCCCGGCCCAACCGGGGAACGGCGCGGGAAACUAGCAGGCUUGAGUUCGGGAGAGGGAAGCGGAAUUCCGGGUGUAGCGGUGAAAUGCGCAGAUAUCCGGAGGAACACCGGUGGCGAAGGCGGCUUCCUGGACCGACACUGACGCUGAGGCGCGAAAGCUAGGGGAGCAAACGGG